rnacentral:lncRNA from 1 species
CGUUCCUAUUGCACUGGUGCUUGCUGCAGCUGAGGUUGAGGGAGAUGCUACUGAGCUAGAGGGAGCGGCUGCUAAACUCUCAGAGCUCGAUGUUGAGGGGCCGCUCUUCAGACAAAAUGAUUCAACCGCCUCUAUCUGACAAGCCUCUCGAUCUUGUCGUGAAGCUAGUGGCAAUCUUCAGUAUGGUGAUCAUGGUCAUGAUGGUAAAAACAGUAUCUAUUCGGAUCCCGAUGGUGUUCUGGCCUCAUUCUCAUCAACCGAGGCUCAGGUAACUCAGGUCUCACUUGUAACAAUUUCUCUCUCCGAGAAACAUUCAGGGGCGUGUAGCUAUCAUACAGCUGAAGAGGUGAUGGUUGCUGAAUCCUUCUCGGAGGACUAUAGGAUUGAUGAUUUCGACCCCCAUUAUUUCACCUCAGGGGUGGAGAUUGGAGGUGCUGGCAUCUUUUCUCCUCC